GUGGGGAAUAUUGCACAAUGGGCGCAAGCCUGAUGCAGCGACGCCGCGUGAGGGAUGAAGGCCUUCGGGUUGUAAACCUCUUUCAGUAGGGAAGAAGCCGGUCUUUUGGGUUGGUGACGGUACCUGCAGAAGAAGCGCCGGCUAACUACGUGCCAGCAGCCGCGGUAAUACGUAGGGCGCAAGCGUUAUCCGGAAUUAUUGGGCGUAAAGAGCUCGUAGGCGGUUUGUCGCGUCUGCCGUGAAAGUCCGGGGCUUAACUCCGGAUCUGCGGUGGGUACGGGCAGACUAGAGUGCAGUAGGGGAGACUGGAAUUCCUGGUGUAGCGGUGAAAUGCGCAGAUAUCAGGAGGAACACCGAUGGCGAAGGCAGGUCUCUGGGCUGUAACUGACGCUGAGGAGCGAAAGCAUGGGGAGCGAACAGGAUUAGAAACCCUAGUAGUCC
rnacentral:rRNA from 1 species